rnacentral:rRNA from 1 species
CAGUCGCCGCGGUAAUACAGAGGGUGCGAGCGUUAAUCGGAUUUACUGGGCGUAAAGCGUGCGUAGGCGGCUAAUUGAGUCGGAUGUGAAAUCCCUGAGCUUAACUUAGGAAUUGCAUUCGAUACUGGGAAGCUAGAGUAUGGGAGAGGAUGGUAGAAUUCCAGGUGUAGCGGUGAAAUGCGUAGAGAUCUGGAGGAAUACCGAUGGCGAAGGCAGCCAUCUGGCCUAAUACUGACGCUGAGGUACGAAAGCAUGGGGAGCAAACAGGAUUAGAUACCCCUGUAGUCCCUGUCUCUUAUAC